rnacentral:rRNA from 1 species
CUGGCUUCGCGGCCGGCUGAAAUAUUUUUUUCACCCAUGUCUUUUGCGCACUUGUUGUUUCCUGGGCGGGUUCGCCCGCCACCAGGACCAAACCAUAAACCUUUUUUUUUAUGCAGUUGCAAUCAGCGUCAGUAAAAACAAUGUAAUUAAUUACAACUUUCAACAACGGAUCUCUUGGUUCUGGCAUCGAUGAAGAACGCAGCGAAAUGCGAUACGUAGUGUGAAUUGCAGAAUUCAGUGAAUCAUCGAAUCUUUGAACGCACAUUGCGCCCUUUGGUAUUCCAAAGGGCAUGCCUGUUCGAGCGUCAUUUGUACCUUCAAGCUUUGCUUGGUGUUGGGCGUUUUUGUCUCCCUCUUUCUGGGAGACUCGCCUUAAAACGAUUGGCAGCCGGCCUACUGGUUUCGGAGCGCAGCACAUAAUUUGCGCUUUGUAUCAGGAGAAAAGGACGGUAAUCCAUCAAGACUCUACAUUUUUAACUUUUGACCUCGGAUCAGGUAGGGAUACCCGCUGAACUUAAGCAUAUCAUAGG